rnacentral:rRNA from 1 species
UCAAGUUAUUAAGGGUGCAGGGCGGAUGCCUUGGCACUAGGAGCCGAUGAAGGACGUGAUAAGCUGCGAUAAGCUUCGGGGAGUUGCACGUAAACUUUGAUCCGAAGAUUUCCGAAUGAGGAAACUCACUUAGAGUAAUGUCUAAGUAUCAUUAAGUGAAUACAUAGCUUAAUGAGGGGAACUCAGGGAACUGAAACAUCUAAGUACCUGAAGGAAGAGAAAGAAAUUCGAUUCCGUAAGUAGCGGCGAGCGAACACGGAUUAGCCCAAACCAAUAAAGUUUUCUUUAUUGGGGUUGCGGACAUAUCAUAACGAAGAGGUAUCGUAAUUGAAGAGGUUUGGAAAGACCCACCACAGAAGGUAAUAGUCCUGUAUGUUAAACGAGAAGACUUUAGAUAUGAUCCAGAGUACCACGGGACACGUGAAACCCUGUGGGAAGCAGGAGGGACCACCCUCCAAGGCUAAAUACUACCUAGUGACCGAUAGCGUAUAGUACCGUGAGGGAAAGGUGAAAAGAACCCCGGGAGGGGAGUGAAAUAGAACCUGAAACCCUGCACUUACAAGCUGUGGAAGCACAUUUCUUGUGUGACCGCGUACUUUUUGUAGAACGGGCCAACGAGUUACGUUAAGUAGCAAGGUUAAGCACUUAAGGUGNGGAGCCGUAGCGAAAGCGAGUUUUAACUGAGCGUUCAGUUACUUGACGUAGACCCGAAACCGGGCGACCUACCCAUGAGCAGGAUGAAGCGAAAGUAAAAUUUCGUGGAGGUCCGAACCCACGAGCGUUGAAAAGCUCGGGGAUGACUUGUGGGUAGCGGUGAAAUUCCAAUCGAGCCCGGAGAUAGCUGGUUCUCCCCGAAAUAGCUUUAGGGCUAGCCUCAAGGUGAGAGAUACGGAGGUAGAGCACUGAAUGUCCUAGGGGGUAUUGCACCUACCGAAGACUAUCAAACUCCGAAUGCCGUCAUCUUAUACUUGGGAGUCAGACUGUGGGUGAUAAGAUUCAUAGUCGAAAGGGCAACAGCCCAGAUCGUCAGCUAAGGUCCCUAAAUGUAAGUUAAGUGGUAAAGGAUGUGGGAUUGCACAGACAACCAGGAUGUUGGCUUAGAAGCAGCCACUCAUUCAAAGAGUGCGUAAUAGCUCACUGGUCGAGUGAUCCUGCGCCGAAGAUUUCCGGGGCUAAAACUUACUACCGAAGCUACGGCAUCAGUAAUGAUGGGUAGGGGAGCUUCCCAUACGGGUUGAAGCAUGACCGUAAGGACAUGUGGACAGUAUGGGAGUGAGAAUGUUGGCAUGAGUAGCGAGAUGUGGGUGAGAAUCCCACAGGCCGUAAACCCAAGGUUUCCAGGGGAAGGUUCGUCCGCCCUGGGUUAGUCGGGACCUAAGCUGAGGCCGAAAGGCGUAGGUGAUGGACAACAGGUUGAUAUUCCUGUACUACCGAUAACCGUUUGAGAGAAGGGAUGACACAGUAGGAUAAGCUAAGCACACUGUUGGUUAUGUGUGCCCAAGCAUUGAGGCAGUCAAAGUAGGCAAAUCCGCUUUGAUAAUGCUGGGAUGUGAUGGGGAGCGAAAUUUAGUAGCGAAGUAGCUGAUUUCACACUGUCAAGAAAAGUCUCUAUCGAGGUUAAAGGUACCCGUACCGCAAACCGACACAGGUGGGUGAGGAGAGUAUCCUAAGGCCAGCGAGAGAACUGUUGUUAAGGAACUCGGCAAAAUGACCCCGUAACUUAGGGAUAAGGGGUGCCACCAUCAGGUGGCCGCAGAGAAUAGGCCCAAGCGACUGUUUACCAAAAACAUAGGUUUCUGCUAAGUCGCAAGACGAUGUAUAGGAGCUGACGCCUGCCCGGUGCUGGAAGGUUAAGGGGAUCUGUUAGAGCAAUCGAAGCAGUGAACUUAAGCCCCAGUAAACGGCGGCCGUAACUAUAACGGUCCUAAGGUAGCGAAAUUCCUUGUCGGGUAAGUUCCGACCCGCACGAAAGGCGUAACGAUUUGGGCACUGUCUCAACAACAGACUCGGUGAAAUUGUAAUUCCGGUGAAGAUGCCGGAUACCUGCGACAGGACGGAAAGACCCCAUGGAGCUUUACUGUAGCUUGACAUUGGGUCUUGGUACUACAUGUACAGGAUAGGUGGGAGGCUUUGAAACCAGGACGCCAGUUUUGGCGGAGCCAUCCUUGGGAUACCACCCUUGUAGUACUGGGACUCUAACCAUAGGCCAUGAAUCUGGUCUUGGGACACUGUCAGGUGGGCAGUUUGACUGGGGCGGUCGCCUCCCAAAAGGUAACGGAGGCGCUCAAAGGUUCUCUCAGUACGGUCGGAAAUCGUACGUAGAGUGUAAAGGCAAAAGAGAGCUUGAUUGCAAGACAUACAGGUCGAGCAAGGAUGAAAAUCGGACUUAGUGAUCCGGUGGUUCUGCGUGGAAGGGCCAUCGCUCAACGGAUAAAAGCUACCCUGGGGAUAACAGGCUUAUCUCCCCCAAGAGUCCACAUCGACGGGGAGGUUUGGCACCUCGAUGUCGGCUCAUCACAUCCUGGGGCUGUAGUAGGUCCCAAGGGUUGGGCUGUUCGCCCAUUAAAGUGGUACGCGAGCUGGGUUCAGAACGUCGUGAGACAGUUCGGUCCCUAUCCGUCGCAGGCGUAGGAAAUUUGAGAAGACCUGUCCUUAGUACGAGAGGACCGGGAUGGACGUACCUCUGGUGUACCAGUUGUCCUGCCAAGGGCAUGGCUGGGUAGCUAUGU